UAUCCAAAUAGCUUAUAUAAGAGCAUGGCAUUGAAGAUGCUAAGGAAACCUUAGGUUUUUGGAU
rnacentral:tRNA from 1 species